GACGAACGCUGGCGGCGUGCCUAAUACAUGCAAGUUGAGCGCUGAAGGUUGGUACUUGUACCGACUGGAUGAGCAGCGAACGGGUGAGUAACGCGUGGGGAAUCUGCCUUUGAGCGGGGGACAACAUUUGGAAACGAAUGCUAAUACCGCAUAAAAACUUUAAACACAAGUUUUAAGUUUGAAAGAUGCAAUUGCAUCACUCAAAGAUGAUCCCGCGUUGUAUUAGCUAGUUGGUGAGGUAAAGGCUCACCAAGGCGAUGAUACAUAGCCGACCUGAGAGGGUGAUCGGCCACAUUGGGACUGAGACACGGCCCAAACUCCUACGGGAGGCAGCAGUAGGGAAUCUUCGGCCAUGGACGAAAGUCUGACCGAGCAACGCCGCGUGAGUGAAGAAGGUUUUCGGAUCGUAAAACUCUGUUGGUAGGGAAGAACGUUGGUGAGAGUGGAAAGCUCAUCAAGUGACGGUAACUACCCAGAAAGGGACGGCUAACUACGUG
rnacentral:rRNA from 1 species